UCCGGUCGAGAGGAGAGGGAAGAUUGGAUAAGAAGGGAAACCCAAAAGGACCAUUUUUAUAAGUGAGUCUGGCCUCGCUCAAGUCCUUGGUAAGGGCAAGAAAUCCCACUGCUGCUUACUGAUGCGGCCAUCAGGGAAACUCCACCAGGCUCAUCUGCUCCCCGGUCACAGUCAUGGCUGGAAGCCACAUGGAGAUUGUGAAUGCCAGUUGGAACAUGAAGAAAACCACGCUCAGAUCCUGAUCUCCAUGGCCAUUCCUGCUCACCUAUGAGACCAGGGGUGGGAGGACACAAUAUUCCUCUCUCACUGCCUGAAUUCCACCCUCUGUGUAGGCAACAGCUGGAAUAAAAACUCUGUUCUCCA